CUUCCAUAUUUCAACAUCGGAGUAAACACCUAAAGGAUCAAGGUUGGUCCUUAUGCACCCACGGAAAAGAGUUGGUUCUUGAGGUAUGAUGCUGAGUUUCAUUCUUAGGUCCUUUAGGCCAAUCUUACUUAUGUCAAUGCCAUCAAUCAAUAUGCAACCACUUGUUGGUUCUACCAAACGAAACAAAGCACUGAUUAACGUGCUUUUCCCACUUCCCGUUCUCCCAACAACUCCUACUCUUGUCCCUUCCCUAAAUGUGCAAGAGAUUCCUUUGAGAACUAACGGAGCAUUGGGACGAUAUCUUAUCUGAAACAAAUAAGUGACGCAACUCAGUGCCUUAAGCAUAAUUAUUACUAUCAUCUUGUAACACAUAUGUUUUCUUCUAACCUUAAGCUCCUGCAAGUGAAUUGUACCAUUGGAAGGCCAUGAGGAAGGUGGUCUUCUAUCAUCCACAAUUGCAGGAGGUUCUUCUGGUAUAUUCAUAUAUUGUUUUAUCCUCUCUACUGAAAUGACUGAAUUUGAUAAGGUGCAAUACCAUCGGGUCAUAAACACCUGAGUUUGUGUCAAUGUUAAUGCAUAGGAGAGAGAAAGCCCAACGAGGCCUGCAACACAAAGGCAAAAUUUCACGCAGAACCUUUCAACUUGAUGAAUACCUUCAAUACAACAGAUUUUUCAAACAACAUCUCAUUCUAUAUUUACGCAAGAUGUGAAGAUGUGAUGAGAUGAGUUAAAUAAUUCAUGUACCUGGAGUUAUGUAGCCCUUGGGGAUAAGGGUAAGCAGAAGUGCACAAGUGAACAAGGUCACAUUCUGUAGAGUCUCUAUCCUCAGAAUCACCCACUCCAUGGCUGCAUUAGACAGAAAGAAUAGCACCGCAUCUGCAUCAACUAGGUGUAAGUAGUUUUUGAAGAAUCUCUCUACCGUUCCAAAAGCUCGUAUUGUCACCACUCCAAGUAAGGUUUCUGCAGCAUAAUUCAUCACUGGAGCUUUGGUUGUUCCAUUGAUUCUAAUCAGCUCCCUUGCAGAGGCUAAAUAGUAAUCCUUUUUUUCAACGAAGAAGUGGAUGUUAAUAGUGAAUUCUUUGCUGCAUAAAAUGAAUUGAAAAAGAAGUAAAAUCGCAACAUGUACCUGAACAACUUUUGUGGCUGCCAAAGCAAGAAGAGCGAUGAUAAUUACUUGCCAUGUAACGUAUGUCAUGAUGAUAAGAGAUGCAACAAGCUCAAUAGCCGGUCCUACCACAAAUAUGAAGGCGAAUGGGAUGUCAAAGUCCAAGACGUUCAAAUCAGACGAAGCCUGCAAAUGUUACAGUCAACCACAUCAUACAUUGAGCUGUAAAUGUAUUCAUAUACGUGAUUCAUAGACAUGAAAGUAAAGCGAUCUUACUCGAGUGAGAAUGCGCCCAACGGGAGUAGAAUCAAAGAAAAGCAUCGGGGCUUUGAAGACUGCAUUUGUGAAACCAGAGAAAAAAGCCUUAGAAGCUUUUAGUCCAAAAUGAGCAGUUGUAAGACCUCUCGUGUAUACAAAACCAGCACUAAGAGUUGAGAUAAUGCAGUACACUCCAAUAAGCAUUAGAUUCGUGAGUUGAGGGAUCCCUAUGGCAAAAGCCAGCCAGUAUGUUGAGGCUGCUUGAAAAACUACAAAGCCAACCUGACUCAAUAUACUUGACCAUAAAAGAAACCAUCCUCGAGAGACACUGAAAUAGUCCAAAAAAGGUUUCAACCCAACAUAACCGCUCUCUUUUUCUUCUUCUUGUGUAAGUUGUACCCCUGGAACAUUAAUUGUUUCCAUCUCUUCUUCGAUUUUUUCUACCACCGUCAUGUUUCUUAUCUCACUGCCUUGACCCCCUUUCCUAAGGUCUCCGAGGCUUUCAUUACUCGCUAAAGGUAAUACAGUUACUGCAUCAUUAUGAGCAUUCACCAGUUGUUGGAAUGCAGUCCCCAUCAUUAAGAGCUCCUCAUACUUUCCUAACUGAGUUAUUCUUCCUUCCUCCAUAACCUGAUCAAGAACAUUAAUAAUUAAUAGUGAAACAGUCAAGACGUAGACAUAGUUUUUUUAAUUUGCUGAUACUCAAGUUUUACCAGAAUUUGAUCAACUUUUGAGAGAAACUCGACUUGGUGAGUGACCAGAAUGACAGUUUUUUCCUUCAGCGAAUCUUCAAUACAUUUCUGCAGUCACAGUUCAACCUAUUAAGAAGCAGUCAUUAAGAAAAGCUUCUUUGAAAUCAAUGCUCUCACUUACAUGAAAAAGAACUCCAGCUGUAUGUGCAUCCACAGCACUAAAAGGAUCAUCAAGGAGGUAAACAUCAGCAUCUGCGUAGACAGCACGAGCCAGCUGAAUCCUUUGCUUUUGUCCUCCACUCAAGUUAACCCCUCUUUCUCCUAUUUCUGUGAGGUCACCAUGUCCAAAACCGAUCAUGUCUUUAUCCAACUCACAUGCUUCAACAGCAGCAUUAUAUCUUCUAGCUUCCAUGGGCUUGCCAUAGAGAAUAUUAUCCCGGAUGGUACCACUUUGGAUCCACGCUGUCUGAGAAACAUAAGCGAUUGACCCAGAGAGCUUUACCUGUUUUUCAAUUAGACAACAUCAAUAUUUAUACUAUUUAAACAAAGUUAAAGUCAGUCUUCGUGGCUCUUUUGCUUACAGUUCCGGAAACUUUAGGUAUUUCUCCAAGUACUGCAUGUAACAGCGAUGAUUUUCCUGCCCCAACUGGUCCACAAACUGCAACUUUUUGCCCGUGCUUAACUUCCAAUUGUAUAUCUCGAAGGGUUGGAGUCUUAGUUUCUGGAUCCCAACUGAAGUUUCCUAAUUGAAUAUCCACUGUUGUUCCAGAUUUCUCUAGACCACUUCUUUCAAUUUCAUCAAUCUUUAGCUCGUCAUCAAGCAAGAAGUUGUUUAUCCUGUCGAAAGAGACAUUGACUUGGAUGAUAGCAGAAAUGGCCUCAGGUAUAAUUUUAGCUGGCUCUGACAUAACUCUUAGUGUAGCUAAAACCGUGAAAAUGGUGCUUGCAUUCAGUGGCGCGCUCUUCAAUAGUGCACAUCCAACGAAAAUAACAGAAGAAACUAUUGUUGGAGACAUCCAAUACAAAAAACUACCAAAGGCCUUCGUCAGCUGAGCCUUAGCCAACCAUUUGAAUUCUUCAUCACGAUAGGUAUUUAUCUUUUUCUUGAACUCCUCUUCCCAAGACUGCAGCUUAAUGACUUUCAUGCUGUUCAAAAUCUCUGACGUAGACCUCAAUCGCUUAUCCUGCGCAAUCAUGAACUGGGUCUGGUAGUUCUGUAGCAUCUUUGCGAAUGGCAGAUUAAGGAGACCACACAGGAGAAGAAGAAUUAAACCUGGAAAAGCUCCUGCUCCAACCACUCUAAAAAGUACAGCUGUAGAAAGCAAAAGCUGCAGCGUAAGGCUCCAUCCCGAGUGGAACCACCAUAAGAAUUCUCCCAUACGAUAUGCAUCCACCGCGAUAUAAUUAACAAUCUCCCCAGAUGAAUGCCUUUUUCUCCCCAAACUUGAUAGCUUUAGCUGCUUUUUGUACGCAGCUACCAUAAGCGCCGAUCUAAUCCUCAUUCCUGAUCUUCUUGAUGCAAAAUACCAAUGUCUCAUUGACAAGGAUUCAACUAGCUUCAGCAUAACUAGACAAGCUAAGUUGAAGAAACCAUUUCGGAGAUCCCUGUGGUCACUGUUUGCAUAAUCGACAAAGACAUAUAGCAUUAAUGGAAGAGAUACAACCGCAACUGUUCUGAAAAAUGCACAUAUUGUUAUGAAUAUGUUUUCCUUGAAGUAAACUUUUGCAACGGCCCUAAACACCAAGUUUCUUUCCUUAGAUGAGCUUCCAUCUGCAAGAAGCGUAUCCCAUGCUUGAGAAAAUUUAUUGUAAGCUAAUUCAGCCUCAUCUUCCGGGACUACACUUGGGAUAUCUUCUCGGGACAAUGGUUUCUUGAAUCCCAGCGAGAGUAAAGGAUUCAUCCAAGAGAACGUCAGAAUGCUGAAAUAUCCAGCUGUUGCUAACCUUGCACGUUCUUUUCUAGGAUUUUCAGUUAAUAGAGGAUCAGAUAGUCCUGUUUCACUGCAAUCUUGAGCUGCUGCAGAAGAAGAUCUCAAAUUCAUCCAGGAGCAAAGGAGAAGCAAAAGACUCAUAGGAGAGGUAAUGACGUCAAAGCUUCGGAUACCAUUUCCCUGCAAAAGCAUCCCACUCUUUGCUGCUAAAUCCAACAAUGCAAAAGACAUCCACCAAACAGAUUCAAGAACUUUAAUCCACUUGGAGCCAUUAACAAGCAUGGAAACGGCAAGUGAGACCCAAAUGAUCCCUUCAACAAAGCAAGCAAGCCAGGGGAUUUCGUUGACGUCAUUAGCACCAUGAAUCAAACUAUCUAAUCCAACACCAAGAAAAAUGAUGCUAGUAAUAACACAGCCUAUAGCUGCAGCCACAAAGACCCAUCCUCUCUUGCGGCGCCGGACUAUAAAAUGUUUGGAAACACAACCAGCUACCAAGAGCAAGUAGAAGAUGCAGAGAAACAAGAGAUUUAAGAAAUCUAUAGCGGUUCUUUGGAAGCAAGAAGAAGCCAAAUUCAGUUCAACGUCACACCAUGGAAGGCUCCCUGCAUUAUACAAAAACCCAUAACAAGAGAUAACAAUAAGCAAAUCGUCAACAUAUCUAUACAUACUUUAUACCUUUUUACUUUAUAGAAGUUUUAGUUAGAAACUAUUUUUUGUCUUUUAGAGGGACACGAGUAGCAAAGUGGGGAGAUUUUAAUGAUCCCACCAUAUGUAGUAUCAAUGAUUGAACACAUAGAGAGUAUUUUAAACGCGUUAGAUUCCAAAAGUUUUUUUUAUUUUUAUUUUUGCUUACAAAAAACCUAUACACAACCCAAGAACACCAUCACCAAAAACAAAACAAAAAAAGUGAAAAAGCAUUAAGAAGCCAAGUGGAGAGAUUCUAAUUAUCCCAAUAUAUAGUUGCUAUUAAUGCUUGAAUUUGAACGCAUAGAGAUUGUUUUCAACUCGUGAGAUUCUAAAAGUUUGUAUUUUUCCUACGAAGAACCUUACACACAACUCAAGAACACAACCCGACAACAAAAAAUGAAAACUUUAAAGCACUAAGACAAAGAACCAAUGAUUAAGUAAAAUGGGUAAAGUCGUACCAAUCGAAACCACCAUUGUAGAAGAAGAAGCAAGCAAGUGAGCAACAGAGCUCAAUCAACAAACAAAAAACAGAAAAAGCUUCAGCCUUUAUGAACGAAACGUGAGGGUUGUUUGUUGUUUCGCUAAAGCUAAACGACGUAUCCAAAGUCCUAAAUGAUUAAGUCGACUUGACGGCUUCUCGUAACUGUGGCCAGUAUUAUUUGGUCCUGAUUAUUUAAUUGCUUCCAUAGUCAUCGUAUUCAUGAACCCACCUACCCACAUGAGUCAUAACUGUGAAUCUAAAACGAGGAUCACGCUCGGAGGACGAGGGGGGUCUCUUACCAUCAAUGGAGCCUGUAGCUGAGAAAGAAAAGAAAAAAACUCUGUUUCCUGACAUGUGCUUACUGUCGUUAAAAAAAGAAUUGUCUCUACACUUCCUCGAGCCCAAAGGCGGAAGAAGAAUGGUGAACCCCUUCGGAUUAGAAGAGUCCCUUCCUCUUCCAAAGUUUAGAGAAGACAUUGUGCAAUAUUAAAAAUAAGAUUAGUUGAUCUCAAUAGAUUAGUCAACACUAGUUGACAAAUAAGUUCCGCUCUUGUGAUUUAAAAUAAUUAGUAGGUAGUAAGUUGGAUGAAUAGGAUUCGAUUGUGAUUCACAAAAAAAAAGUUUUGACUUCUGUGAAAUGUUUCUAUUUUCAGCUUGUGAGAUUUAAUAGUACCAGUUUUUGAUGAUUCAGUGAUCAAAAGACUUCACUUUAUUUUCAGCUGCAAAAGCUCUAUGGACGUUAUACUGCUGAAAGAAGCAAAAAAAAAAAAAAGAUGUACAUGUUGUAUAAGUUGCGAUAAUUAAUAUGGACAUGAACUGUGUAAAUCUCUGAGACUUAAUCCUUUAUAGUGAUUUUAAAAAUAUUUUCAACACUUCGUACAUAUCAAAUAUUGGUUUUACCUUGUGCAUGCAUUGGUAAUGAAUCAGUGUUUUUUUCGGUCCAAAACUACGACAAUGGAAGAUGGGUAUAAGUCUCUGACAUUUCAGUUUCAGUAGCAGCUAUAAUAAGUAAUGAGGCCUAUAAUUGAAGGUUCUGAGAAGAGUUUCCUCUGCAACUAGCCCAAUACUCAGCAACAAGCUUGGAGAAGUAAGAAUCAGACUCCAUUAGCCGUGAAGGUUCGUUGUACUCCACUAGAUCACCUGUCCAAAACCAAACCAAAACCCAUAUAUUGGUCAUGAUAACAGAUAUAUAAGAGAUGAAAAGACAGAGUUGGUUGGUUCAUUAGAGGAAAAAUGUUGUUUACCAAAGGAGAGAACCAUGACCAUGUCACUGUCUAUGACCGUUGGUACUCUAUGUGCAACUGUUAUCACCGUGCACUCUGCAAACUCUUCUCUUAUGACUCUCUGAAUGAUUGCAUCAGUUGCUGAAUCAAUGGAAGCUGUAGCUUCAUCUAACAUUAAUAUUUUGUUUCUUUUUAACAAAACUCUUCCAAGACAGAACAGUUGUCUCUGUCCCACACUCCAGUUCUCUCCUUCAUCACUCACUUUUAAUUUCGUCCCACCAAUAACAAAUAAUAAACAUAAGUUUAACGCCCAUUUGGUGAAGUGAAAUUGAAACAACACUGUUUUUCAAUUACCUGAAGAAUCAAGCUUAUUAGGCAGAUUGCUAACCGUUGUCUUGAGCUGACACUUCUCUAGAGCCUGCAAAAGAAAUAGUUUUAUAAGAAAGGGUUUCAAUCUGUGAUGUAGAAAUCUCAUUCUUGUUUCUUAUCUCACCUUCCAUAUUUCAUCAUCGGAGUAAACACCUAAAGGAUCAAGGUUGGUCCUUAUGCAGCCACGGAAAAGAGUUGGUUCUUGAGGUAUGAUGCUGAGUUUCAUUCUUAGGUCCUUUAGGCCAAUCUUACUUAUGUCAAUGCCAUCAAUCAAUAUGCAACCACUUGCUGGUUCUACCAAACGAAACAAAGCACUGAUUAACGUGC
rnacentral:lncRNA from 1 species